AGGCUCCCCCAACAUGCAUGAAGAUGAACUCUCCCGCACUGAACCAAUGGGGUAAAGCUGCAGCUGGCGCAACCUGUCCGUUGGCAUUUCAGAGUGUUUUUCCCCUCCAGAUCUAAAGAUUUUACGUUUCUGUGCAGGGUAAUCUGGAGAUAAGAAAUUGGCGCAUUUUUAAUUUUAGAGCAAUUUUUAAAAGUUUUUUGGUUUUUUUUCUGUCGGAAAACAUUUUGUUCCCAAGAUUUAUUCAUAAUGUCAAAGUGUUUCUUUUACGAAGGUGUCUGAUACACUGUGACAUGCCAUUUGGCAGCUGAGACCUAUGAUUCUAAAGGUUUUCUUGUAUUCAUCUAGAGAUUUUUUGGGGGAGGAUCUGGCAACACCGGGUACAGCCGAGCUGGCACAUGUGCGUGCGCACACUUACUCCACCACUUUACCCUUCUUUGAGCUGCAGCACAAAGGAAUAUCCACCAGAAACUCUUCGGGGCAUCAGAUGAUUCUUAAGGCCAAGAUACAAUAUGGUAUUUCAGUGCAAUCCGAUCGCAUGCAAUCCGAUUGCGUGAUUGCAUGCAAUCGAUCGCAUGCAGUCGCGACAGGGUGCAGUAGGGUGGGAUCGGAUGCGAUGGAGGGUGUUUGGAAGCAGGAACGAGAGUAUUUGUAUACGCCUACUUCGUAUUUUGAUGUUGCUAUGCGCAUAGAACUUAGAGUAUGUGUACUUUUGUGUUUGUAAACAUGUCUGAAUGUGUUUAUUUUAUAGAAUGUAUUAAAGAUUUUCUUAUAAAUUUCUUAUAAAUACAUUUUUUUUUAAAAAAUCAUCACCCAGAGCUCUCAUACUUUCAGUUUAGGACUGUUUCGGUAUAUCCCUUACAAAAAAGCAAUAUAGGCUACUGCAAGUAGUUAUGGUCCUGUUGGUCUUAUUUUGGCACACUUGCAGUACUACUUUUGGACAUUUUUUUGUGUAAGGGAUGUAUGUGUGUGUGUGCGUGUGUGUGUGUGUGUGCGUGUGUGUAUAUAUAUAUAUAUAUAUAUAUAUAAAACAUGUGAAAAAGUUGCAAGAGAAGUCCGCUGGUGCUGAGCUGCAUGUAGAAUACACCAAGCACAGGAUGGUAUUCACUCAAGAAGCCAGCCUAGUGGAAUACCUGCAAAGAGUCUCAGAGACGUAUUGUGGACUCGCACAAAAAAACGUCUGAAAACUUGCUUCUGAGCUUGCCAUUAAAAACAAGAAGUCUGACGUACCAGCAGGCUGGCUUGAAAAUGGAAUGUCAGGCUUCCAGAGAUUUCUUUACGAAAACCAGAAGUGACUUCAUUGGCUUGUGAUGCUGCUUUCAACAGACACAAUGUCAACUUGUUUUUUGACAACCAGCCUUCAGCUUCUGCCAUGUCCGGUGAACAGCCUUCAGCCUCUACCAUGUCCAGUGGCUACAUUAUUCCAGAGGCUGUCCUCCCUCUCCCUAAAGCAGGUCCACGGGUACCAAAGAAGAGUGGUGAUCGCAAACCAGAGAAAAGUAGAAUCUUGACUGAUACACCUGAGAAAGAUGCUGUAGCUGCUACGCGUCAGGAAAGACAACUCAAUCAAAAAACAGAGACAGCAGAGUGGCAAGCAACCAAGAAAGACCAAAUUUCAGCCAUCAGAUUCAGAAUCCCGAGAUUCAGAGAUGUCAGACAGCGAGUAUGAACCGAGUGAUAAUACUGCAUGUGUCAAAGCUGGAGAGUACGUAAUUCACAGGCUUCGCUGUCCUUUGUUGAUGGUGUUCUUGAAAGAAAUGAAAAUGAACUAUACACCAAGUUUCUGUGGUCCUGCAAAUCUAUUCCCUUUACACUAAAUUCAUGUUUCCAGAAACAAGAUGCUGGCAUGCAUCGUUUAUCAGAUAUAGUAGUAAUGAUCCUGCCUGAUCCCAUAAAUGUUGGUGGCACAGAUCGCUUCUCCGAAAAAUACACUUUUCCCUGUGAUGGAGACUUAUAAACUGAACUAAUUUGAGACAUAUUCAUAAAAACCUAUGGAAUUGUCAUGGGAUUGACUCAGCUAAACCAGUUCCAAGUAGAGUGGUUAGAAGUCAGUAGUUAGAAUCUCAAAAUAAUAGCAGUUUUGUUUCAAGCAGGCUAAUGUGAUUGACUCCAAAAAGUUUCAUACAGAAAUGAAUUUGUUCUUCAUUAAUAUCCUGCUCAGUAAUCAUUUUCUGUGGGGUAAUUGCCCUUGUCUUUCAUUAACUUUCACCACACCUGAAAGGCUACUUGUCAGAUCAUGGUUUUUAAACAGUAUUUUAAUCCCACUUGUUGGGUUUUGUUAGUACAUUUUAAUGGUCAGAAUCAUUUGGUUUCAUUCAAUGUUUUUACUCAUUACAUUUGUUUUUAUUGCACACAUGUUAUGAAGUUAUAUUUUAUAACAGGUAUUAUGAUGUCUAAAUUCAAUGAUAAAUAUAUGUUGCUGAUAUUUUUAGUUCUGUUAAUAUUUAUAAUGUUUGAAUAUUAAACUUUUCUGCAUUUUUCAUUUAAUACCUCUUGUGUCCUGUAGGUGGUGUUUUCCACAAAUUGUCUCAACUAGCCCCGGUCUCCCUUACUACUGCUUGUAGCUGUUGCUAGAAUCGGUGGCAUAAUCUCUGGAACAAAAACAAUUAUAAAUGACGCAGGUUUGAUAACAAAACUGUCAUUUUGAUAAAAUAUUAACUUUACAUGGCACUGAUAUCUGAUCCAAGCUAAUUUACUUUUAUAGCUCAGAAUAAAAUAUGCACAAUAAAAGUGUGUGGCCCAGAGCUCUCCCCUGGCUGUUGUUUGUGCUUGGUUCACAAAGUGACAAGUGAGUCUUCAUUAAUGCUGGAAACAUAUAUGCUAUUUUGUCACUAGUAUAUAGGCUCAGUUGGGUACAGUCAAAUGCUUUGUGUAACAGCUCUGUGCUUUUUAAAUGGUCAAAUUGAUCAGCUUGAAAAAAAUGAAAUUCUUAAGCACAGGUUUAUAUAUAUAUAUAUAUAUAUUUAAUGUAUACAAAAAGCUGUAUUUUUUUUACCUUCUGCUUCACUUCGAUUCAAAUCUGAUUCAUCUUUACCUAAUAUCAGACAACAGAAAUCAGUUCAUUUUACUGGUAAUACAUUUGUUUAAGUCCUUGUGCUAUAUUUAAUGUUGUUUCUUUUAUUUUUUUCAAAUGGCUUUGUUUGGUGAUCAGUUCUACCGGCGGUGUUCUUUACUGCAGGUGUGUAGCCUGGUGGCUUCAUUACACACACCAUGAAUCCAGCAUGCAGUACAACCCUUGGUUUCAGCCUCCAGCCAGCAGUUCUUCACACAAACACGGCUGGGUUAUCCCUGAGAGAUGCAGAUGGAAAACAUGCCACUUCAGUUCUACAGAGAGUGCUGUACAACCCCAAGACGAGAACAACCAUGAUGCCCUUCAAAACAACCUGCUUCCAUAUAAAGGUCAAAACCAACAGAAAGCAGCAGUACCAGGGAGUGCUGUUACUGACACUCAACUGGUUGGUCAGUGAAGAAAAAGCUUUAUUAAAUACAUUGUUGUCUGCUGUUCUGCUGCAGAGUAUUGUGGUGUACAGUAAGGUAAGCACUGCUAUUAAUAACUAUUGGAAAAGCCAGGGAGCCCUGUACAUUGGAAUUAUUUAAUGGAACCUAGACUUUAAUUUAAGUUCAUACGUUCCGGGUUAAACCAAGUCCUGGUCUAGAAUGGGCUGAAAAAAACCACAAGUGAGUACCACAUAUGUAAAUGAUAGCCCUCUAAAUAUAGCUAUGGUUUAAAUUACGGUCUGUUAGUAGUUUAGAGUUUUAACAUUUUGAAUGUUGCCUAAAUGUUGUCAAAAAGUAUAAUCUUAAUUAGAAAUUCUAAAUUAAUGGUGCCUUACAUUUUACAAGAUACAGAGACUAAGGUGUAAGGCACCACUAAUUUUAUCUUCCAUAUACAUAUAAAUGCUACACCACCACUGAGAUAAUGAGCAUUUUGCAUAUUUUUAUACACUAAAGGAAUUCUAAAGACACUCCUGUGAACUUAAUGAGACAUUGAUAUUCAUGUAUGUGAUACACAAACAGCCUUGUUGUAUUGACUUAAACAGUGGUUGCACGUGUUUUGAAUACUGCUUAUGUAUACACAGUUGUAGUCAAAAGUUUACAUAACCCAGGAAAUUUAUAAUUUCUAGAAAUUUCUCGAAAACAAAGAAUUAUAGGAAAAAUCUUUUGCAGCAUUUUUUUUUUUUUUUUUUGCAAAACUCCAAAAAUGUUAAUUCAAAAGUAUUUGUACAAGGAAAAUGAAAUUAAUAGCUAGUUGAGGCACCUUUCACAGUGAUAACCUCUUUUAAAUGAUUAGGAUAUUUGUCAAUGAGCUUUUGGCAUGAUUAUUUAGUGAUUUGUGUUACCAUUCUUCAAUGCAAAAUAGGCUACAUACAAUUUUGGCUUUCUAAUGCAGUACGUUUAACUCAUUUUCUUUCUGCACAUGCUGUAAACGUUACUCUCUGAAUUGUGCUGGAGUUGAUCCUGAAGAGACUAGCAAUUUAUUAAAUGUGAUGUAGAGCAGCUUGGGCUUAUCUAUUAAAAGCACUACAGUGCUGGAGUGCAAGGUGAGCUACACAAUGGUUUGAAUCCUGGUUGUGUGUUGAUGAGCUUGGUUGGUUUGCGGAGAAAUAUCCGCUGGGGACAGUUCACAUAUUGCGCUCAACGAUCCCUACUUGUCAGGCACCCCCCAGACCAGGUGGAAACCUCCUGAUCCGAACCCUUGCCACCAGGGUUUAGUAGCUUGACACCCCUUAACCUGCCAACCUUAACCUUUUGCCAAUCAGUCUGAUUGGCAAGUGGGUUGCAGUGGUGAGACUCCUUUAGAACUAAGCAGAACAACUGAGGUAAAACUGAUAAACAGUUCAUCAAAAAAUCUAAAAAUAUUUUACACCAAAUUUUAAAUUAUAAAAGAAAAAAAGAGGCAUGAAACAAGGAUUGAAAUGAGUUCCCCUGUGUGUCACAGGCCUUGCUAUCAGUGUCAUUGAAUGCUCCUUGAAUAAUGAUUGACAUGAAUCUUCUCUUUCCUGAAGGUGUUGACCUGUCCAAACUGGAACAGCACCCCAAUGCUGCUCCACUUGGAUUUUGAAACUGAUAUUAAAGAGAGGCUGUUUUUUCUCAAAGAGGUGGGUGUGGAGGAGAGCCACCAGGGUCGCUUUAUCUCCAAGAACCCUCACAGAGAGCAUGGAGGAUCUGCGGGACAGACUAUGGAUCUUGUGACGCGUCUUCCAAGGUUAUUAACUGGGAGUUUGGAACCAGUAAAAGAAAACCUUAAAGUAAGUUAUUUGACCAUACAGCCUGUUAGUUUUGAAAUGAUAAUUGUUCAAGAUGCAGUGCUGAGUGCUCUACUUCUUCAAGCAAUUGUUGUGUUUUCUACAUGCAUGUUUUAUUACAUGGUUAGUAUAUGCACAAUUAUUGUGUGUAAGCUGAAAACCUCUUGUCCACCAGAUAUCCCUAAUUUAUGUUUUGCUCUUUUGUACUGGUGUAUCAGAUAGAACUGGGUUUUAAGGAAAAUGAAGUCCAACACAUUUGUUACGAGAAUACCAAAGCUUUUAACUGCAAGCAAAAAGAAACUUACAGGAAUCUUUGACUUUGCACAAUACAAUGGGCAUCUCUCACAAUCUCAUUGUCAAAUUCCCUCAGGCACCCAAGGGUUUGGGUUUCAAACUGUAUCCUUAGAAGGUAUUAUAGUAAAGUGCGGCUGACAGUUUUAAUACAAUGUGUUUUAAUAAGCAAACUUUUGCCUGUUUUCUAUGUUUAUUGCACAAAAUGCAAAAAUAAGUCACUGGUAUCCAAGAUAAACGUAAGGAAGGAGCAUCCUUCAACUUUAAGAAUAACAUAUUCCUUUUAAUUAUUUUAUUAAACAUCCAAUACAUUAUGUAUAAUUAAAAAAAAAAAUCCUUAUUUCAUUAUUAUAAAUAUAGUACAGUUUUAAUUUUAGUUCCAUGUUGCAACCAGCCUUUUUAACGUGGUUACAGCAAAUCAGACUCUUGCUUUAAUUAGGUUAGGUAUGGAAGGUGUUAGAUGUGGUUGGCAACAAUUUGAUUUGCACAGCAGUUUGUUGGGAUUUCUCUGCCUUGGCCACACACAGGUAAGCUGGAUAAAGUUAGAAGCCCAUUAAGUUAUUUUGUGGUCUUCUAUAAUGCAUAUGUAAAUGUACUGUAAACACUAAAAAUAAACAGUAUUAGGGACUAACACUAUAGCAGUAGUGUUGAAUAGUUCUUCAGUGUUGCUCCAAGUAUGACUUUAAAUUGCUUGUUAAUAAAAAUAAAUGCUCUUCCUUCUAUUUUUGUGAGCUGAAACUGAAACAGUUAUAUUAAAACAAAUAUAUAAUAAUCUGUUCAUGUGAAUUAGUCUAAUGUUUUACCUGUUUUUGGUUUUUUUUGGCAUUGAAUGCAACCUUAUUGAAUUAAGGAGAGGCAUUUGUUCCUAAAGCACUUGGGAAGGGCCCAGUAUGACCCAGUUGAGCCAAACUACAUCUCAUUGGAUCGACUGGUCUCACUCCCCAAUUAAGUCUUCUGUACAGAGAUUGCCUUGGCCUCACUCAAGGAUUUUGAAAUGUUUCAGAAGACACUUUAAUUGCAGAAUGCACUGCAUCAUAAAUGUACUAAUAUGUCUAAAAUGAUAA